GCGCCGCCCAAUCUGUGUCAGAGGGCUGGAGCUUCAUCUGCCCCAUUCAACCACACCACUACACACACUCCAGCAGAUUACUGGAUCCGCAGCUUUACACCUCUGGAUGCAUGGACUACUGUCUUUUGUGAACUGAUCCCUUUAACUAAAGCCAGUUCUGUGAUGACAUCAUCGCAUGGGAAGUGACAUCAUUUUGGAGGGAAAGCAACAGCACCAGCAUUAACACUGUUGAUGGAGCUUAACUCAUCCUGAAGCCGGAACAUUCCCACAGCAGCAGAAGUGCUGGAAUGCCACAUGGUUUUAAUGCCCCACCCAGAGCUCUAUGACAUGCAGUGCCCCGACCCCCCGCCUCCGGUAUGUCAGGAAUGUGUUUGCCACCCAAAGAUCCCUGCUGUCAUUCAGCACACCAUGAUAUUCACACAGGGAAAUGAUCCCCGGGGCUUCUGGGUAAUCCACCCCCACGGCCUGGUGGGUGGACGGGGAAACUGAGGGGAUGUAGGUGGAACAAAAUCCACUGGAAAGUAUUUUGCAUGUUCCUCAGAAGAGAGAGAAGGAAAUGAAUCCUGACUAAAUUACAGGGAAGUUUUAUAGAAAAUAAAACCAGAACAUAUUAUGAACCCAAAA